AUUGAACGCUGGCGGCAGGCCUAACACAUGCAAGUCGAACGGAAACAGGAAGCAGCUUGCUGCUUUGCGGACGCGUCGCGGGCGUGUGAGAAAUGUCUGUGACACUGCCUGAUGGAUGGGGUUAACUAGUGGAAACGGUACCUAAAACCGCAUACCGGCGGAAGACCAAGGAUGGGGACCUUCGGGCCUCUUUGCUUCGGCUGAGCCCUGGUGGGAUUAGCUUGUUGGUGGGGUAACGGCUUACCAAGGCGACGAUCCGUAGCUGGUCUGAGAGGAUGAACAGCCACACUGGAACUGAGACACGGUCCAGACUCCUACGGGAGGCAGCAGUGGGGAAUAUUGCACAAUGGGCGAAAGCCUGAUGCAGCCAUGCCGCGUGUAUGAAGAAGGCCUUCGGAUUGUAAAGUACUUUCAGUGGGGAGGAAGGGAGGAAAGUUAAUACCUUUGCGCAUUGACGUUACCCGCAGAAGAAGCACCGGCUAACUCCGUG
rnacentral:rRNA from 1 species